rnacentral:lncRNA from 1 species
AUGAGCCUGAAGCCAGAUGACCAAGCCUCUAUGGAGGCUCAGUAUGCAGAGGAGGCCUCAGGACCUGAGACCUUCAGAGCAGAGCCAGGAGACCAGCUGCAACCUGGAACCUUUCGACAGGUGACGGCGGGCUCCGUCACAGGUGGCGCCCGAACAGGGACCUGAAUAGGGGGCAAAUUUGCAGUGAAGGACGCCGCGGCUUGUGGAUCCGGUAAAGGUGUAAAAGUGCUUUUAUUCCUUCUGAUUCUAAUCUCAAGAGAUCUCUGUUAAUUGACUAUUCCAAAGUUUUGACCAGUCAUACAAUUAUAAAUCUGAUAAUCAUAAAAAAGAUACUGUAAUUCAAUUUGGCCAAAUAUAUUUGAGUGCACUCUAAUUUUAUAAAUUGUCUUUUAUGUUUGUCUGUUGUCUGUUUGUACAGUUGAGCUCAAUUUUUUUUUACAAUAAACAGUUGUAAAAUAAAAAGAUAUAUA